AAAGGAGGUGAAUGUCUCGCCCAAAAGGGCUUUUCGAUAAGUCGGGGAGAUAGGUCUGAAGUUGCGAUGGAGGACGACUCGAAUCGCCCUGUUUUGCGUAACAGGUUGGGACAACAAAGUACAAGGAAAUGACAUUGGUUUAUAGAUGGGUUGGUGUGAUAUUGUUUAAACGUUGAGAUAUGAAUUCAUUACUUAGUAUAGCCUGUGUUUGAU
rnacentral:lncRNA from 1 species